UCCAUGCAGUAAACGAUGUUCACUAGGUGUAGGAGGUAUCGACUCCUCCUGUGCCGGAGUUAACGCAUUAAGUGAACCACCUGGGGAAUACGAUCGCAAGAUUAAAACUCAAAGGAAUUGACGGGGGCCCGCACAAGCGGUGGAUUAUGUGGUUUAAUUCGAAGCAACCCGAAGAACCUUACCAGGACUUGACAUUACGUGACCGUUAUUGAAAG
rnacentral:rRNA from 1 species